UACGUAGGGUGCAAGCGUUAAUCGGAAUUACUGGGCGUAAAGCGUGCGCAGGCGGUUUUGUAAGUCUGUCGUGAAAGCCCCGGGCUCAACCUGGGAAUUGCGAUGGAGACUGCAAGGCUUGAAUCUGGCAGAGGGGGGUAGAAUUCCACGUGUAGCAGUGAAAUGCGUAGAGAUGUGGAGGAACACCGAUGGCGAAGGCAGCCCCCUGGGUCAAGAUUGACGCUCAUGCACGAAAGCGUGGGGAGCGAACCGG
rnacentral:rRNA from 1 species